rnacentral:rRNA from 1 species
UACGGAGGGUGCAAGCGUUAUCCGGAUUCACUGGGUUUAAAGGGUGCGUAGGUGGCUAUGUAAGUCAGUGGUGAAAGCUCGCGGCUCAACCGUGAAAUUGCCAUUGAAACUGCAUAGCUUGAGUACAGUUGAAGUGGGCGGAAUACAUCAUGUAGCGGUGAAAUGCUUAGAUAUGAUGUAGAACACCGAUUGCGAAGGCAGCUCACUAAGCUGUAACUGACACUGAGGCACGAAAGCGUGGGGAGCGAACAGG